UUUGUUUAAUAAUCGCCAGGGUAUCUAUGGCCGGGCUCAGGCGGCUGCUGGGGAGCCAGGAGACCGCGCGGGACGGCGGAUGAGGCGCGGCGGCUGCGGCCCAGGGCACCUCCCCUCUGGCUUCCCGAACCCGGCCAGGUCAGACCCGAGGGAGAGGAUGGAAACACCUGCCGCGCUCUGAGCCCCCCAGAAGAGAACACCCUUCCCGCCAUAUCACCCCACGGUCCUGCGGAGGCCACCGCCUGGUCCCCCCAAGUCUCCAUCGCGCAGCGUGGGGCCGAGAGGAAUAGUGAGCGAUGGCGGAAAACCUGAAAAGACUGGUCUCAAACGAAACUUUACGAACGUUGCAGGAAAAGCUAGACUUCUGGCUGAAGGAGUACAACGUCCUCCAGGAGCCGGUCUCCCAGCCCUGCCCCUCGCAGCCGUAGCUGCAGCCGCAGCAGAUCUGCCAGCCCCUCCACCGCUGUCAAGGUCAGGAGCCCGUCCCCAAACCGCUCCAGGCUGUCCAAUGUGGCGCGCAAGGCUGCCCUCUUGUCCCGGUUCAGAGAUUC
rnacentral:sRNA from 1 species